UACAGGGGGGGCAAGCGUUGUUCGGAAUUACUGGGCGUAAAGGGCGCGUAGGCGGUUCGGCAAGUCUCUAGUGAAAUCUCAGGGCUUAACUCUGAGUCUGCUGGGGAAACUGCCGGGCUUGAGUGUGGGAGAGGAGAGUGGAAUUUCCGGUGUAGCGGUGAAAUGCGUAGAUAUCGGAAGGAACACCUGUGGCGAAAGCGGCUCUCUGGACCACAACUGACGCUGAGGCGCGAAAGCUAGGGGAGCAAACAGG
rnacentral:rRNA from 1 species